GGUUGAUCCUGCCAGUAGUCAUAUGCUUGUCUCAGAGAUUAAGCCAUGCAUGUCUAAGUACAUACCUUUAAACGGUGAAACCGCGAAUGGCUCAUUAAAUCAGCUAUGGUUCCUUGGAUCGUACAUACUACAUGGAUAACUGUAGUAAUUCUAGAGCUAAUACAUGCCACUAUGCCCUGACCCGCGAGGGAACGGGUGGAUUUAUUAGAACAGAACCAACCGGGGGCGGCUUCGGUCGUCCCUGUUGCAUUCUGUGAUGACUCUGGAUAACUUCACUGAUCGCAGUCGGCCUU
rnacentral:rRNA from 1 species